UACGUAGGGGGCAAGCGUUGUCCGGAAUCAUUGGGCGUAAAGAGCGCGUAGGCGGUCCGGUAAGUCCGCUCUGAAAGUCCGGGGCUCAACCCCGGGAGGCGGGCGGAUACUGUCGGGCUAGAGUUCGGAAGAGGCAAGUGGAAUUCCUGGUGUAGCGGUGGAAUGCGCAGAUAUCAGGAGGAACACCAACGGCGAAGGCAGCUCGCUGGGACGGUACUGACGCUGAGGCGCGAAAGCGUGGGGAGCGAACAGG
rnacentral:rRNA from 1 species